GCGGCUGGCAUCGCCUCCUUAUUUAGCGGCGGACGGGUGAGUAAUGCCUAGGAAUCUGCCUGGUAGUGGGGGAUAACGUUCCGAAAAGAACUAUAAUACCGCAUACGUCCUACGGGAGAAAGCAGGGGACCUUCGGGCCUUGCGCUAUCAGAUGAGCCUAGGUCGGAUUAGCUAGUUGGUGAGGUAAUGGCUCACCAAGGCGACGAUCCGUAACUGGUCUGAAAGGAUGAUCAGUCACACUGGAACUGAGACACGGUCCAGACUCCUACGGGAGGCAGCAGUGGGGAAUAUUGGACAAUGGGCGAAAGCCUGAUCCAGCCAUGCCGCGUGUGUGAAGAAGGUCUUCGGAUUGUAAAGCACUUUAAGUUGGGAGGAAGGGCAGUAAGCUAAUACCUUGCUGUUUUGACGUUACCGACAGAAUAAGCACCGGCUAACUUCGUGCCAGCAGCCGCGGUAAUACGAAGGGUGCAAGCGUUAAUCGGAAUUACUGGGCGUAAAGCGCGCGUAGGUGGUUCGUUAAGUUGGAUGUGAAAGCCCCGGGCUCAACCUGGGAACUGCAUCC
rnacentral:rRNA from 1 species